rnacentral:rRNA from 1 species
GACGAACGCUGGCGGCGUGCUUAACACAUACAAGUCGAACGGAAAGGCCCUGCUUUUGUGGGGUGCUCGAGUGGCGAACGGGUGAGUAACACGUGAGUAACCUGCCCUUGACUUUGGGAUAACUUCAGGGAACUGGGGCUAAUACCGGAUAGGAGCUCCUUCUGCAUGGUGGGGGUUGGAAAGUUUCGGCGGUUGGGGAUGGACUCGCGGCUUAUCAGCUUGUUGGUGGGGUAGUGGCUUACCAAGGCUUUGACGGGUAGCCGGCCUGAGAGGGUGACCGGCCACAUUGGGACUGAGAUACGGCCCAGACUCCUACGGGAGGCAGCAGUGGGGAAUAUUGCACAAUGGGCGGAAGCCUGAUGCAGCAACGCCGCGUGCGGGAUGACGGCCUUCGGGUUGUAAACCGCUUUCGCCUGUGACGAAGCGUGAGUGACGGUAAUGGGUAAAGAAGCACCGGCUAACUACGUG